UCUUUAAAAGAAUGCAUAGAAUAUAUAGUGUUUAAUUAACUAACAUGCUAUAUGAUGUGGAUGCGCCAUUAAGCAUAUUGUUCUAAACUUUGUUGAUGCUGAAGUGAGUCCAGCUGGCAUGAUGGGGACUCAAUUUUUGCUUUGAGGGUUCUUGAUGGUGUUAGGGUGGGCUUCUUUUGUGUAAAUUUCAAUCUUUGCGUCUUUAGUUGUUUUCAGAUCAAACGAUUUGGAGAGAAAAAUUUAGCUUCCGACACCCAUGGCAUUGACCGUAAAAGUUUUGUCUCUAACAGUGUUAAAAAAUCUAUAUAAGGCAUUGUUUUGUUUCACAUUUAAUUCUACUCUUGGUGAUUUUAGGCUUUCUGUGGUAGCUGAGAAAAUGCAAGAAAAUAAAAGAAGUGAAAAGUUUCAGCAUCAGAUGAGAAAGUACAAAAAAUUCAGGAAAUA